CAAAAACGGUGUGAGAGUCCGAAUGAAUGCUGUCGAAGCUCCAAGAGGCGAUACAAAAUUUCACUUUGGCAAAGUGACUGCAGAAGAUUCUGGAUUGUACACAUGCCUUUACUCUGAAAAGAAACUUGGUGUCAGUAAGACCACUGCAACAGGACACAACUCCGUCUCACUCCAGGUUUUGGGCAAAAUAUUACCGGCAAAGAUUAAAAGAACAGAAAUGACACUGACCUGCACCUUUACAAAAAUUCAAAGCUGUACUCAAGUCUACGUCUAUCUCUGUUUCAACGGGAUCGGAAACAGAAAGAAGCAGGUGAACUGUAGCGAUAUGACCACUUCCACAACGUUUCUCCUUAGUAACGUUUCAGAAAAGAGCUCUGGCAACUACAGCUGUGUGUAUUCAGUGUCUAACUACAAUCUCAGUGAGGUGAACAAUACAGGAGAAAACACCGUCUUUGUUCAUGUGAACGGCCUACAUUGGAAAAGAAAUCUUUUCAGAUUAAUAUGCUCAGUCGGAGUGAUCUUUUUUGCAUGCUGCAUCGUGGUUUUUGACAUCAAGAAGAGGUGAUCCUCCACCGAUUCUUCAACUGCACUGCACUGAAAUGGUGCUUCAUAACUUUUUUUUUUUUUUAUGUAAAUAGACCACGUAAUGAGGACUGAUAACUGAAUUCUUCUUUUUCAUGUAAAUAAAAAGCAGUAUUGUUAAUAAAAACAUUUAUGGCAAGUGAAAGGUUUUGAUGAAUAAUUUUUCCAAAGAGAAAUUACAUGCAACGUUUUAACAGAACCUUUAAGAGUUU
ensembl:lncRNA